UCCCUGUCCAGAGACCUUCCUCGGAGUCCGUUACAACACCACCAAUAACGUGUACAGAGAAUGUCUUGCCAAUGGCACCUGGGCGAAGAAGGGAAACUACUCCCAAUGUCAGGAAAUCCUCAACGAGGAGAAGAAGAGCAAGCUGCAUUACCACAUUGCAGUCAUCAUAAACUACCUGGGACACUGUAUCUCUCUGGGAGCCCUGCUGGUCGCCUUCAUCCUCUUCAUGAGA